CAAAUUUUAUAUGACAGUGAAUUAUAAUUGGCUGACAUAAUGAAAAAUUUAAGAUUUGAAUUAUCAAAAAUUUCAAACAUACAAAGGUAGAGAGAAAAGCAUAAUGAGCUUCUGUGUACCCAUUGCCCAGCUCCAACAAACAAGUCACAACUAAUCUUGUUUUAUUUAUCACUUCCCCAGGUCCCACAUCCAGAUCAUUUGAAGCAAGGUCCAAGCACUCUAUCAUUUCAUCUGUAAGUGCUUUAGGAUGUACCUAACAGGUAGUUACAGAAAACUUGUUGUCCUAAUGCUGAGAAGCAAACACUUUAAGAGUGACAAGCUCUCUAAAGUUGUAGUUUGGGAUUCUUUAAACCGUUUGUCACUCAGUUCUGCCAUUUUGUGACUAUUCUCCAAGCCAGGCUUCAGCAAUACAUGAACCGUGAACUUCCAGAUGUUCAAGCUGGUUUUAGAAAAGGCAGAGGAACCAGAGAUCAAAUUGCCAACAUCCGCUGGAUCAUCGAAAAAGCAAGAGAGUUCCAGAAAAACAUCUAUUUCUGCUUUCUUGACUAUGCCAAAGCCUUUGACUGUGUGGAUCACAAUAUAUUGUGGAAAAUUCUGAAAGAGAUGGGAAUACCAGACCACCUCACCUGUCUCUUGAGAAACCUGUAUGCAGGUCAGGAAGCAACAGUUAGAACUGGACAUGGAACAACAGGCUGGUUCCAAAUAGGAAAAGGAGUACAUCGAGGCUGUGUAUUGUCACCCUGCUUAUUUAACUUCUAUAGACAGUACAUCAUGAGAAAACCAGGCUGGAGGAAGCACAAGCUGGAAUCAAGAUUGCUGGGAGAAAUAUCAAUAACCUCAGAUAUGCAGAUGAUACCACCCUUAUGGCAGAAAGUGAAAAAGAACUAAAGAGCCUCUUGAUGAAAGUGAGAGAGGAGAGUGAAAAAGUUGGCUUAAAGCUCAACAUUCAGAAAACGAAGAUCAUGGCAUCCGGUCCCAUCACUUCAUGGUAAAUAGAUGGGGAAACAGUGGAAACAGUGGCUGACUUUAUUUUUCUGGGCUCCAAAAUCACUGCAGAUGGCAGUUGCAGCCAUGAAAUUAAAAGACGCUUACUCCUUGGAAGAAAAGUUAUGACCAACCUAGACAGCAUAUUAAAAAAGCAGAGACAUUACUUUGCCAACAAAGGUCCAUCCUGUCAAGG
ensembl:lncRNA